GCCCACCUUUAAUGCAGCAUAUAAGCUGUAUUAAAAUAUGUGGACUCUGGUGGGCUUUUGAAUCUACACAGCCAGAAGUAUUUUGUCAUGAAUUUAACAGUUGAGUGAUUCAUUGUUUCCUGUGAUUGUGGUUCCUGUGUAAAUACACACUUAUCUCAUAGCAUAAAUGCUACUAAAAUGCAACUUCCGUGGCGACUUCACAGCAGUAGAGAAGUAGCCCACCCACACACUUUAUGAUGCAAUGUAAUGCAAAAAAAAACAUUACUUUUCAUAUGAAGUCAAAUUUAAUGCAAAUGUUUUUUUUUUUAGAAACAAUUAUGUAAUGUGUUGCUUUUACCGUAAAGUUCCCGUAAGGUUUUUGUUGUAACCGGUCACCGAUGGCAAACAUCACUUGGCUAGUGGAGAUUUGAAUCUGAGACCCUUGUCCUAAACCAUAUCGAGACUCAGACCAGGACAUCAAAUAAUGAGACUCAGGCCACUUUAAUGUCUCAAAACCAAGACCACAAGAUCUAAACUCCUUCUUGAGUAUCCUGUGGUCAUUUACUUCUGUGUGCUAAACUGAGCAAAACACUCUACACUUUCAUAAUCUUUGUUGAAUAUGAAUAUGAAUAUCUGCCGUUUGUGUUUUAGAUUGUGGAUUCAGGGAUCUCUAAACAAGCGCUGAAUGAGAUUGAAGCACGCCACAAAGACAUUGUGCGUCUGGAGAGCAGCAUAAAGGAACUACACGACAUGUUUGUGGACAUCGCCAUGUUGGUGGAGAGCCAGCAUCCUUGUCUCUCUUCCUCUUUGUUCAAACUCGUUCUGUUGGCUGCUGCUGGUCAGAGUGACUUCCCUUCAGCCUUUUCUCUCACAUGUGAGUCCUCUUUGUUCGCAUGACCUUUUUAUUUCCCUUACUGACUGUAUUCCUUUUCAUUCAUCUACAUUAUUUCGUCACAAACGUAAUACACCCAUUACACCUUGAUUAAAAGAUAUGAAAGUGAGUAGCUCUUUUCCAAAAACCUAGUGUGAUGCAAAGCUGAUACUUUUGGUGGUGUAUAUUUCGUGCAUGAACAGCACUGAACUGCUGGGUUGCUGCCAAUCAUGGUGUGUUACACAUCAAUCACUUAUUAGCUCCAUUUCAGUUUGGUUUCUGCCUGUGAACACAGCUCUCUGUGUAGAUCGUAAGUGAUGCAGUUCACUAGGUUUUGGAGCAGAGCUAAUUCAACACGAUCUAAAGAGCUCUGAUAAAUUAUUGACCAAUCCAUUUUUACUUGUUAACUGCUUGCUAUGGAGAAAAAGUGAAAGGUAAGCUUCUGGUAUUUCUCUAAUAAGUCCCUGUUCUUCAGAGAAUCAACACUGAAUAAGGCAGAUCGGGGCUAGUUCUCACUCUCUUUACUCCAGAGAAUCAGGGUGGGCUUGGUUUUCAAAGCCAAUUUCUAUAUAACCAAAGUACUGACUAGAAACAAAUACUGAACAAGUUUACCAUUAUUUCCCUGGAAAAUAAAAAACGUUCUAUUAAAAACA
ensembl:lncRNA